rnacentral:rRNA from 1 species
AUUGAACGCUGGCGGCAUGCUUUACACAUGCAAGUCGAACGGUAACAGGGUGCUUGCACCGCUGACGAGUGGCGAACGGGUGAGUAAUGCGUCGGAACGUGCCGAGUAGUGGGGGAUAACGCAGCGAAAGUUGUGCUAAUACCGCAUACGUACUGAGGUAGAAAGUGGGGGACCUUCGGGCCUCACGCUAUUCGAGCGGCCGACGUCUGAUUAGCUAGUAGGUGAGGUAAAGGCUCACCUAGGCGACGAUCAGUAGCGGGUCUUAGAGGAUGAUCACGCACACGGGGGCUGAGACACGGCCCAGACUCCUACGGGAGGCAGCAGUGGGGAAUUUUGGACAAUGGGAGAAAGCCUGAUCCAGCCAUGCCGCGUGUCUGAAGAAGGCCUUCGGGUUGUAAGGGACUUUUGUCAGGGAGGAAAUCCCUAGUGCUAAUAACACUGGGGGAUGACAGUACCUGAAGAAUAAGCACCGGCUAACUCCGUGCCAGCCGCCGCGGUAA